UACGGGGGGAGCAAGCGUUGUUCGGAUUUACUGGGCGUAAAGGGCGCGUAGGCGGCCAGCACAAGUCAGUUGUGAAAUCUCCGGGCUUAACUCGGAAAGGUCAACUGAUACUGUGCGGCUAGAGUGCAGAAGGGGCAACUGGAAUUCUCGGUGUAGCGGUGAAAUGCGUAGAUAUCGAGAGGAACACCUGCGGCGAAGGCGGGUUGCUGGGCUGACACUGACGCUGAAGCGCGAAAGCUAGGGGAGCGAACGGG
rnacentral:rRNA from 1 species